CAGGGACUACAUCGUGUGGUCAUGGGCCGUGGGUCCUGGGUCGCUACAGGGCCAUAGAAAUCGGUUCAAUGGCCUCUGCCGUCCAUAGGCCAGCAUGGCCACAAGUUAGCCGUCUUUGGGCCUACCAGGUCCAUGGACCGCGAUCUAUGGACCCGUCAGGCCUAUUGGCUUCUGCCUCCAGCAUGGCAACCGAGGUCACUGGACCUACUGCACAUGUCCUUAAGCACCGGCCAUAGUACCCCUUCCCUUGGUCAUUGUGCCACAAAUCGUUCGUUGGAAAUAUCCAAGGAGGCCCUGCGCCAUGCUUCGCCUUCUCUUCCUUUGGAACCUACCC
rnacentral:sRNA from 1 species